UACGUAGGGGGCUAGCGUUGCUCGGAAUCACUGGGCGUAAAGGGCGCGUAGGUGGGUCUUUAAGUCAGGGGUGAAAUCCUGGAGCUCAACUCCAGAACUGCCUUUGAUACUGAGGAUCUUGAGUUCGGGAGAGGUGAGUGGAACUGCGAGUGUAGAGGUGAAAUUCGUAGAUAUUCGCAAGAACACCAGUGGCGAAGGCGGCUCACUGGCCCGAUACUGACGCUGAGGCACGAAAGCGUGGGGAGCAAACAGG
rnacentral:rRNA from 1 species